AAAAGAGAAAAUUAAAAAAGAAAACAGCUGAUGGAAAGCCCGCUCUUUUUUUCUCUGUUUUUGCUUAGCAACCAGAGAAAAGAAAAAAAAAUUGUUUUUUAUUAUUCCAAUUCUCUUGUUUUCUAAUUGAUUCUAUUAAUUGUUAGUUAAUUGUUAGUGAUUAUUUGGGUUAGAGAUGAAAAGUAAAUGACCAGAGAUUUGGAUGUUGAUUGGAUUUUGGAUUUUCGGAUGUUCAAAGAAAACAUUGUCAUUAAAUAUAUGGAUGGAAUAUGUGUUUAAACAUAAGCAGCCUGAUGAUGAUUCUACUUGAUGGUGAUAUUAUUUCAAGUGAUUCGUUUCCAGAGAUUAUAAUAUGUCAACAGUACUUGAGUUGGAAAUUCUGACAAUCUGAUUAUCUGUUUUUUUUUCCUAUUCCAGAUACACUCAGAUUAUGGUAUUUUCUUUACUAAUAUCAUGAUGAUGACGAAGAUGAAAGGAGUGUAGGUGGAGGAGAUUGAGAUUCAAUAUUACCAUGAAAUUGAGAGUAUUGUGUCUACCUCUUUGGUGACGAAUCACUUGAAUUAAGAUUGAUCACAAAAAAAGAGAAUCAAGAGUUGGAACAGUUUGUAAAGAUUAAUUAAUUGUGUGAGUACCUUGUGAAUGUCGGAAUCACCACAUAGGCGAUUAAUAUAAGCGAAAAUACCACUGGUGACCCUCAUUGAGGCCAAACUUUGCAUCUGACCACAGGAAUUGAUUACGAUUAAUAAUUAAUAUUCAAUUGAUGACAAUUAACAAUUAACAGAUUAACGAUAUUGGCCAAAUCAAAUCCAAGAAGAGAUAAAAGAUAAAAGCAAUAGGAAAAGAAAGAAAGAAAAUUCUGAGAAUUGAAUUCGAUUGAAACAAUAUUGGAAUAUUUUUCGUUUUAAUUUUCAUCGAAAAUAAUUUAGGAAAAGUUUUUCUUUUCAUCACAAUUAAUUUCUAAUUGUGAUUUAGAUGUAAUUAUUAUUAUUAUUAUCAUUUUAAUCUAAUAUGCGUAUUGUAAAACCUUGAUAACGAUUGGGUUCAAUUUGGCCGUUUCAUCAUUCUAACAAUUAACUAAUCACUAGGACAGAAAAAGCUAUUUACCAUUUUGUAGGACACACAAAUAUUAAUGAUCAAUUAACUAAUCAACAUGAACAAUCAAUUAAUCAGAAUAUAGUUAACAAUCAAUGUUAUUAUUAUCUUUUAGGGUCAUUGGUCAAUUUGUUGAAACAAUUAACAAAUUUCAAUUGAUUUAAGGAUUUCAAGGUAAUUAUAAAUGAUGAUUAAACAACUAAAUAUGUUUUUUGUUGACAAUAACAAUUAGAUAAUAAUAACAAUCAACAUUUAAGAGAUGACAAAUUGAAACAGAUACACAAUUAACAAGGAUCACAAUACGCAUUGGAGGAUAAUUAAAAAGAGGAAAUUAAUUGAUUGUGGAUAAUUAAAUGCAAAUUUAUGGUACAGAAAAAUUAAUGUAAUUGUUACAUUUAAUUUACAAACAAACAGGAAAAACAAAUCAAAUUAAAAUAAAUUGUCAACUUUAAACAUGAAUUAAAGUUUAGGAAAAACAAUCCAAUGAAUAAUAAUUAAUUUCAAUGUUAAUCAAAAGUGAUUUAAGAUUAAAGGUUGAUUAAUGAAAGUCAAAGGUACUUGAAUUAACAUGCAAAUUUAAAUUGUGAUUAAUUAAAGAGUAGUUUAGUGUUUUUCGUAUACAACAAUCAGAAUAUCAAGACAAUUAGGUAACAAUUAAGUAGCAAUUAACAAGCAGGUGAAUCGCAAGUGUGCAAAAACUAAGGGUGUGGUUUAUGUGAGUAAUUAAAAACAUAACCAAGUUAAUCAAUCAAUUAAUUGUCACCAAUAAGACAAUCAACCAACUCAACCAACUCAACCAAUUACUACAACAAUUAAACAACAAUCUGUAAACGUAACAAUCAACUGAUUACAAGUGUAAAUCUCAAGAAUAACUUUCAAAUGGAUUAACUGAAAUUAUCAUUUUCUUUUGACAAAAUGUUUGAAAUUUUGCUCUUUUAAGUUGAGAUUGUGAAUAGAAUGAAAAAUGAACAUGAUGAUGAUGAUGAUAAUGGUCAUGAUGAUGAUGAACAUGGUGAUGAACAUGAUGAAGACAAAAAAAUAAUAAUAGGAAGAUACGAAAAGGUACAAUAAAUGAUAAACUAUCAAGGAGAAACUAUUCAGUUAGAAGUUGAAAUUUUCGAAUUUUUUUUCUUUUUUUCUUCUAUUACUUUUUUCACCCACAGGCUAUUUUACUACCUGGACAUUAUUAUCACUCGAUGAUGAUGAUGAUUGUGUUGUUGUUGUUGUAGGUGAUUUUCAAGUUUUCAUGAUGUUCUUGUGAAUCUGUGUCAUGAUAAAUUGUUAUCACAAGUUUUGUUAUCAUCAUUACAAUCAAUUCAACUUCAUCAAUUUUA